rnacentral:misc_RNA from 1 species
AGCAGCCGCGGUAAUUCCAGCUCCAAUAGCGUAUAUUAAAGUUGUUGCAGUUAAAAAGCUCGUAGUUGAAUUUCGGGAUCAAUUAAUUGGUCGUGCCUCUGGUACGUACUGAUUUUAUUGGUUUCUCCCUUCUGACGAACCAUGAUGUCAUUAAUUUGGUGUCGUGGAGAAUCAGGACUGUUACUUUGAAAAAAUUAGAGUGUUUAAAGCAAGCUAACGCUUGAAUACAUUAGCAUGGAAUAAUGAAAUAGGACGUUUGAUCCUAUUUUGUUGGUUUCUAGGAUCGACGUAAUGAUUAAUAGGGAUAGUUGGGGGCAUUAGUAUUCAAUUGUCAGAGGUGAAAUUCUUGGAUUUAUUGAAGACUAACUACUGCGAAAGCAUUUGCCAAGGAUGUUUUCAUUAAUCAAGAACGAAAGUUAGGGGAUCGAAGACGAUCAGAUACCGUCGUAGUCUUAACCAUAAACUAUGCCGACUAGGGAUCGGAUGAUGUUAAUUUUUUUAAUGACUCAUUCGGCGCCUU